AUUGAACGCUGGCGGCAUGCCUAACACAUGCAAGUCGAGCGAGUGAAUGGGGCUUACUCCUGGAUGCAGCGGCAAACGGUUGAGUAAUGCCUAUUAGUCUGCCUUAUAUUGGUGGAUGACGUCCUAAAACGGGCUCUUAUACCGCAUACGUCCUUAUAUAGAAAUUGGGGGGGCUUCGGACCUCACACUAACAUAUUAGCCUAAGUCUGAUUAGCUAGGUGGUGGGGUAAAUGCCUACCAAGGCGACGAGCCGUAACUGGUAUGAGAGGAUGAUCAGUCACACUGGAACUGAGACACGGUCCCGACUCCGACGGGAGGACGCAGCGGGGACUACUGGAGAAUGGGGCAAAGCCUGAUACAGCAAUGCCGGGUGAGGGCAGAAGGUGCAAGGAUUGUAAAGCACUUUAAGUUGGGAGGAAGUGAAGUAAGUUAAUCCCUUGCUGUUUUGACGUUACCAACAGAAUAAGCACCGGCUAACUCCGUG
rnacentral:rRNA from 1 species